UUUACAACAGGCACCAUGUGCCUGUAAAUGCUAUGUCAACCAAGGGACAUUACUCUGCACACACAGGUGUCACACUACAAUUUGUAGUGUCAAUGAACCUGUAUUUAUACAGCAAGUUAAAAGGAAUUGGAUCACAGGGCAAAAAGAUUUGUUUGCAUGCAGAGGUUUUAUAGAGAGAUGGCCUCAUUUAUCGAUGUAGCUGUGAGAUACAUGACGGUACCUUCUGCAAAAAGCCUAACAGAUGAAGAGUUACCAUCUACAAUAUUGUUAUACAAAUAAAAUAGGACCAAGGACUGACCCUUGAGGUACAUUUGGA